rnacentral:rRNA from 1 species
UGAACGCUGGCGGCAUGCCCUACACAUGCAAGUCGAACGGCAGCACGGGUGCUUGCACCUGGUGGCGAGUGGCGAACGGGUGAGUAAUACAUCGGAACGUACCUUAUCGUGGGGGAUAACGCAGCGAAAGUUGCGCUAAUACCGCAUACGCCCUGAGGGGGGAAAGCGGGGGACCGUAAGGCCUCGCGCGAUUAGAGCGGCCGAUGUCUGAUUAGCUUGUUGGUGAGGUAAAAGCUCACCAAGGCGAUGAUCAGUAGCUGGUCUGAGAGGACGAUCAGCCACACUGGGACUGAGACACGGCCCAGACUCCUACGGGAGGCAGCAGUGGGGAAUUUUGGACAAUGGGGGCAACCCUGAUCCAGCAAUGCCGCGUGAGUGAAGAA